rnacentral:rRNA from 1 species
UACGUACGAGGCGAGCGUUUAUCCGGAAUUACUGGGCGUAAAGCGCGCGCAGGUGGUUCUUUAAGUAGGGCGUGAAAUCUCCCGGCCUAACUGGGAGGGGUCGCUCUAGACUGGGGGACUUGAGGCUGGCAGAGGUAGGUGGAAUUCCUGGUGUAGUGGUGAAAUGCGCAGAUAUCAGGAGGAACACCGGUGGCGAAGGCGGGUCUCUGGGCAAUGAACUGACGCUGAGGAGCGAAAGCGUGGGGAGCGAACAGG